GGUCAAGCGAACAAGUGCAUGUGGUGGAUGCCUUGGCGAUCACAGGCGAUGAAGGACGCGGUAGCCUGCGAAAAGCUACGGGGAGCUGGCAAACGAGCUUUGAUCCGUAGAUGUCCGAAUGGGGAAACCCACUCCUUUUGGAGUAUCCAUGACUGAAUACAUAGGUCAUGUGAAGCGAACGCGGUGAACUGAAACAUCUAAGUAACCGCAGGAAAAGAAAUCAACCGAGAUUCCCAAAGUAGUGGCGAGCGAAAUGGGAAGAGCCUGUACUCUUUAUUUGUAUUGUUAGCCGAACGCUCUGGAAAGUGCGGCCAUAGCAGGUGAUAGCCCUGUAGGCGAAAACAGUAUGAAAGAACUAGGUGUACGACAAGUAGGGCGGGACACGUGAAAUCCUGUCUGAAGAUGGGGGGACCAUCCUCCAAGGCUAAAUACUCGUGAUCGACCGAUAGUGAACCAGUACCGUGAGGGAAAGGUGAAAAGAACCCCGGGAGGGGAGUGAAAUAGAUCCUGAAACCGCAUGCAUACAAACAGUCGGAGCCUCGUAAGGGGUGACGGCGUACCUUUUGUAUAAUGGGUCAGCGACUUACGUUCAGUAGCAAGCUUAACCGAAUAGGGCAGGCGUAGCGAAAGCGAGUCCGAAUAGGGCGUUCAGUUGCUGGGCGUAGACCCGAAACCAAGUGAUCUAUCCAUGGCCAGGAUGAAGGUGCGGUAACACGUACUGGAGGUCCGAACCCACUAACGUUGAAAAGUUAGGGGAUGAGCUGUGGAUAGGGGUGAAAGGCUAAACAAACUUGGAAAUAGCUGGUUCUCUCCGAAAACUAUUUAGGUAGUGCCUCGUGUCUCACCUUCGGGGGUAGAGCACUGUCAUGGUUGGGGGGUCUAUUGCAGAUUACCCCGCCAUAGCAAACUCCGAAUACCGAAGAGUGCAAUCACGGGAGACAGACAUCGGGUGCUAACGUCCGGUGUCAAGAGGGAAACAACCCAGACCGCCAGCUAAGGUCCCCAAAUAUAGCUAAGUGGGAAACGAAGUGGGAAGGCUAAAACAGUCAGGAGGUUGGCUUAGAAGCAGCCACCCUUUAAAGAAAGCGUAAUAGCUCACUGAUCGAGUCGUCCUGCGCGGAAGAUGUAACGGGGCUAAGCUAUAUACCGAAGCUGCGGAUGCACAUUUAUGUGCAUGGUAGGAGAGCGUUCCGUAAGCCUGCGAAGGUGCAUUGUAAAGUGUGCUGGAGGUAUCGGAAGUGCGAAUGCUGACAUGAGUAGCGAUAAAGGGGGUGAAAGGCCCCCUCGCCGUAAGCCCAAGGUUUCCUACGCAACGUUCAUCGGCGUAGGGUGAGUCGGCCCCUAAGGCGAGGCAGAAAUGCGUAGCUGAUGGGAAGCAGGUCAAUAUUCCUGCACCAUUGUUAAAUGCGAUGGGGGGACGGAUCGCGGAAGGUUGUCCGGGUGUUGGAAGUCCCGGUCGCUGCAUUGGAGAAGGCGCUUAGGCAAAUCCGGGCGCGGAAUUCAAGGAUGUGGCGCGAGCUUCUUCGGAAGCGAAGCAAUCGGAAGUGGUUCCAAGAAAAGCCUCUAAGCUUCAGUUUAACAGUGACCGUACCGCAAACCGACACAGGUGGGCGAGAUGAGUAUUCUAAGGCGCUUGAGAGAACUCGGGAGAAGGAACUCGGCAAAUUGGUACCGUAACUUCGGGAUAAGGUACGCCCCUGUAGCUUGACUGGCCUGCGCCAGAAGGGUGAAGGGGUUGCAAUAAACUGGUGGCUGCGACUGUUUAAUAAAAACACAGCACUCUGCAAACACGAAAGUGGACGUAUAGGGUGUGACGCCUGCCCGGUGCCGGAAGAUUAAAUGAUGGGGUGCAAGCUCUUGAUUGAAGUCCCGGUAAACGGCGGCCGUAACUAUAACGGUCCUAAGGUAGCGAAAUUCCUUGUCGGGUAAGUUCCGACCUGCACGAAUGGCGUAACGAUGGCCACACUGUCUCCUCCCGAGACUCAGCGAAGUUGAAGUGUUUGUGAUGAUGCAAUCUCCCCGCGGCUAGACGGAAAGACCCCAUGAACCUUUACUGUAGCUUUGCAUUGGACUUUGAACCGAUCUGUGUAGGAUAGGUGGGAGGCUAUGAAACCGGAACGCUAGUUUCGGUGGAGCCGUCCUUGAAAUACCACCCUGGUUUGUUUGAGGUUCUAACCUUGGCCCGUGAUCCGGGUCGGGGACAGUGCAUGGUAGGCAGUUUGACUGGGGCGGUCUCCUCCCAAAGUGUAACGGAGGAGUACGAAGGUACGCUAGGUACGGUCGGAAAUCGUGCUGAUAGUGCAAUGGCAUAAGCGUGCUUAACUGCGAGACCGACAAGUCGAGCAGGUGCGAAAGCAGGUCAUAGUGAUCCGGUGGUUCUGUAUGGAAGGGCCAUCGCUCAACGGAUAAAAGGUACUCUGGGGAUAACAGGCUGAUACCGCCCAAGAGUUCAUAUCGACGGCGGUGUUUGGCACCUCGAUGUCGGCUCAUCUCAUCCUGGGGCUGUAGCCGGUCCCAAGGGUAUGGCUGUUCGCCAUUUAAAGAGGUACGUGAGCUGGGUUUAAAACGUCGUGAGACAGUUUGGUCCCUAUCUGCCGUGGGCGUUGGAUAUUUGAAGGGGGCUGCUCCUAGUACGAGAGGACCGGAGUGGACGAACCUCUGGUGUACCGGUUGUCACGCCAGUGGCAUCGCCGGGUAGCUAUGUUCGGAAGAGAUAACCGCUGAAAGCAUCUAAGCGGGAAACUCGCCUUAAGAUGAGAUAUCCCCGGGGACUUGAUCCCCUUGAAGGGUCGUUCGAGACCAGGACGUUGAUAGGUCAGGUGUGUAAGCGCAGUAAUGCGUUCAGCUAACUGAUACUAAUUGCCCGUAAGGCUUGAUCCUA
rnacentral:rRNA from 1 species